rnacentral:rRNA from 1 species
UACGGAGGGGACUAGCGUUGUUCGGAAUUACUGGGCGUAAAGCGCACGCAGGCGGAUUUGUAAGUCAGGGGUGAAAUCCCGGGGCUCAACCUCGGAACUGCCUUUGAUACUGCAAAUCUCGAGUCCGGAAGAGGUGAGUGGAAUUCCUAGUGUAGAGGUGAAAUUCGUAGAUAUUAGGAAGAACACCAGUGGCGAAGGCGGCUCACUGGUCCGGUACUGACGCUGAGGUGCGAAAGCGUGGGGAGCAAACGGG